rnacentral:lncRNA from 1 species
AUUUAUUGCUUAUUUUCUGACUACAAGCUUGGCAAGGGGACAUAUAUUGGCACACAGGAAUAUGUCUUGAAAGGAUAAACUGAUGUGCUUAAUUGCAUAGUGGGAAGUGCAAUGAAUAGGAGGUGCUUCUCUAGAAGGAAAUUCGUAGGGAGAGAAAGAGCCAGAGUCCAGUUAAGAUCUCACAGCUGCAAGCCCAGAGCUUGUUCCACUAAGGAAGACAGUGUGCAAGUGAGUGCCUGGGGCAGAGCAGGGGCUCCUACAUACCAACAGAACUGGAAACUGAGGGGAUGUCAGAAAGCAGGAAAAGCCUUGGCUCACCCUCUGCCACAGGCUAACCAGCCGUCGUCCUCCCUCUCUCUGUCCACACCCAAGCACACCUCGCCACACUCCCUGCCUUCCCAGGCCUGCUUUCCUUUGGCUGGCGAUUCUGUGGCUCCUUCAAACUUAAACAGGUCUCAGUGUCAGUCGCUCAGUUGUGUCUGACUCUUUGUGACUCCAUGGACUGCAGCCUGCCAGGCUCCUCUGUCUGUGGAAUUCUCCAGAAUACUGGAGUGGGUAGCCAUUUCCGCUCUCCAGGGUUUCUUCUCCACUCAGGGAUACAACCUGGGUCUCCUGCAUUGCAGGCAGAUUUUUUUAACCCUCUGAGCCACCAAGGAAACCCAAAAACAAGUGGUAAGGGGAAGAAAAAAAGCACAGUUAUCUGGACAGAUGGCAGCUCAUACUGUGCUAGGGAUACAUAGGACCCUCUCCUCUCGGCCUUACUGCAGGUGAGGAAGGCCGGCUCGGGAGAAUUUUCUGAGAGACCCGGAUGAGGACGGCUGUAAACAGGCAAAACAGAAGCCCCACCUCGUGGGCCGGUGGAGAAUGGACACAGGGCUGGGGGUCCUCAAGAACUUGGAAUGGAGUUGCCCUCUGCCGGUGACCCUGUGAAAUCAGCCCACGGGGAAAGCGUGCCCAGAUCGCGUGCAUGAGGGACGGAUUACACGGUAACCCGAGUUCAUGUCUUUCAGCGGGGGUGCAGCACAGAGAAGAGGAGGGAAGGGGACACUGGUCUCGCGGGUCCAGAGAGGCCCCGAGGUUCACGCAGAACUGGACAGAUGCGAGCGCAACUUUCCCGGGAGAAUCUGAAACUGCCCUCGGAGGCCCAAAGGCUCCCAGCCCGAGGGGAGGAAAGACCUUAUCCGGCCACCGGGAGGGAACCUGGCUAUCCCGGCUUCACUCGGUAUACUUCUCUGAGCUCAUCCUCCUAACGAAUGUCACCAGAGACGCAGGGAGCGGGUGGGUGGCGGGGGUGGCGGGAGCAGGGAAACCGAAAGUGCUCCUGACUCGUGUUAACGCUGAAAGUGUUGAUCGCUCCUUAAUUCCAUGGACUGUAGCCCACCAGGCACCUCUGUCCUUGGGAUGUUCCAGACAAGAAUACUGCCUUGGCUCACCAUUCCCUUGUCCAAAGGAUCUUCCUGAUCCAGGCAUCAAACCCGCUUCUCCCUCAUUGCAGGGAAGAUACUUUACGGUCUGAGCCACCAGGGAGGCCACCCGGGACGGGAUUCCAAACUGGGGCUAUCACCUUACGACUGGGUCCCCUGCCCAGGUUGAGAGAGCCACCUGGAGGCGGGCGCGGGGGACAGCGAUCCCAGAGAAGAAAGUCUUUCAAACCUCGGUCCCCUUCUCUUUCGAGCCCCGACCAUGGAAGAGGCGCCUGGAGACAGCGGAGGACCCCCAAAUGGAGACCUGAGCGGCGAAUCCAGGAGUCCUUCUUCGAGCGGAGAAGCUCUUUGCACCACAAGGGGGCGCGGGGUUUCCCAAAGUGUGUUUGUGUGUGUGUGUAUGUCUGUGUGUGUAUGUCUGUGUGUCUGUGUAUAUGUCUGUGUGGGCGUCUGUGUCUCCUCUGGGAGCAUCUGCAGGAUUGCCUGCUCUGGGGACCAACCACCGCUCCAUCUUUCGCUACUGGAGCUGGGUAAGAGUGGCUUCCCACGUGGCCCAGUGGUAAAGAAUCCGCCAGCCAAUGCACGAGACGCGGGUUCCAUCCCCGGGUCAGGAAUAUCCCCUGGAAAAGAGAAUGGCAACCUACUCCAGUAUUCUUGCCCGGAACACUCUAUGGACAGAGGAGCCUGGUGACCUACAGUCCACGGGGUCGCAAAGAGUCAGCCAAGCCUGAACACCCACUCAGCCAUGUGGGCUGUUUAUCCGGGUUUCGGGCCUGGGAAUCUGAGCGUCUCUUUUUAGCGCCAGAGAAAAUGAUCAUGGCUGGGGAAGGUGCGCUGUCUCCGAAGGGAAGGGGCGGAUGGUCACCGGCCUCCUCCCUGGAGACCUGGGAACUGGCACUGUGCUGCAAGCAGGGACAGCACUCGGUCCCGCUCAAGAAAGGGAGCGGCUUUCCCUCUGUCCCACCCCAAAGGAAAAUAAACGGUCUCUGGCACGUUCCUGCA